CAGAGCAGCUUGGCUUGGCCCAGAGGUCUCAGCCAGCUGGGGAGAUGGGUGGGGAAAGGGAAGCUUACCUGUAUGGUUCAGGAGUCUGAUGGAGACAGGAGCAUGUUGUUCUCUGAGAGGCUCCACCCAGCAGCUGACUCAAACAGAUACAGAUACCCACAGCCAAACAGUGGAUGGAGCUUGUGGACUCUUAAGAAGAAUAGGAGGAAGGAUUUCAGGGCCCAAAGGGGAUAGGAACUCCACAAGAAGACUAACAGAGUCAACUCACCUGGACCCUUGGGUCUCUCAGAGUCUGAACCAUCAACCAAAGAACAUAGACAGGCUGCACCUAGGCCUCCCAGAUGUGUAGCAGAUGUGCAGCUUGGUCUUCAUACACAACAAAUGCAGAGGGAGCAUCCUCCUGCCCCCAAAUGUCAAAGAUGAUCUGGAUGUCCUCUAUAAAUGGUUUUUUCAAAACAAAUCAUUCUAAUCCAGGUGUGAGACUGAAGAAUACCCAGCAGUUCUCUUUAUGGAAAAAUAAAU
rnacentral:lncRNA from 1 species